rnacentral:rRNA from 1 species
GACGAACGCUGGCGGCGUGCCUAAUACAUGCAAGUAGAACGCUGAAGCGAGGAGCUUGCUCUUCUUGGGUGAGUUGCGAACGGGUGAGUAACGCGUAGGUAACCUUCCUUGUAGCGGGGGAUAACUAUUGGAAACGAUAUCUAAUACCGCAUAACAAUGGAUGCCACAUGUCAUUUAUUUUAAAGGGGCAAUUGCUCCACUACAAGAUGGACCUGCGUUGUUUUAGCUAGUAGGUGAGGGAAUGGCCCACCUAGGCGACGAUACAUAGGCGAGCUGAGAGGGGGGUCGGCCCACCUGGGACUGGGGAACGGCCCAGACCUCUACGGGAGGGAGCAGUAGGGAAUCUUCGGCAAUGGGGGCAAACCUGACCGAGCAACGCCGCGGGAGGGAAGAAGGUUUUCGGAUCGUAAAGCUCUGUUGUAAGUCAAGAAAGGGUGUGAGAGUGGAAAGUUCACACUGUGACGGUAGCUUACCAGAAAGGGACGGCUAACUACGUG